ACUGUAAAUUGUAACCAUCAAAGCGUUUUUUAUCAGAGCCGCUUGGUGUUACUUCUUACAGUGA
rnacentral:pre_miRNA from 1 species